rnacentral:rRNA from 1 species
CCUGUCCAGCCUGCCGCGUGUGUGAAGAAGGUCUUCGGAUUGUAAAGCACUUUAAGUUGGGAGGAAGGGCAGUAAAUUAAUACUUUCGCUCGUUUUUGACGUUACCGACAGAAUAAGCACCGGCUAACUCUGUGCCAGCAGCCGCGGUAAUA